rnacentral:rRNA from 1 species
UACGAAGGGGACUAGCGUUGUUCGGAAUCACUGGGCGUAAAGCGCACGUAGGCGGAUUCGUAAGUCAGGGGUGAAAUCCCGGGGCUCAACCUCGGAAACUGCCAUUGAUACUAUCUGUCUUGAAUAUCCUGGAGGUGAGCGGAAUAUGUCAUGUAGCGGUGAAAUGCUUAGAUAUGACAUAGAACACCAAUUGCGAAGGCAGCUCACUACGGGAUUAUUGACACUGAGGCACGAAAGCGUGGGGAUCAAACAGG